rnacentral:misc_RNA from 1 species
UUGAUUCGUGUUUCGAGUUCAGACACGGGACGGGAUCAGGCAUGGGUGCGGCGCCGGAGCGCCGAAGCACGGGUCGCUUCCGCUGUUUCGAGGGUUUGAAGGCGCCGAGCGCCGUUCGAUAAUGAUCCCUCCGCAGGUUCACCUACGGAGA